rnacentral:rRNA from 1 species
CCUACGGGUGGCAGCAGUAGGGAAUCUUCCACAAUGGACGAAAGUCUGAUGGAGCAAUGCCGCGUGAGUGAUGAAGGAUUUCGGUUCGUAAAACUCUGUUGCGAGGGAAGAACAAGUGUAAAGUAACUACUUACACCUUGACGGUACCUCGUUAGAAAGCCACGGCUAACUACGUGCCAGCAGCCGCGGUAAUACGUAGGUGGCAAGCGUUGUCCGGAAUUAUUGGGCGUAAAGCGCACGCAGGUGGCCUUCUAAGUCUGAUGUGAAAUCCCACGGCUUAACCGUGGAAGGUCAUUGGAAACUGGAAGGCUUGAGGAUAGAAGAGGAAAGUGGAAUUCCACGUGUAGCGGUGAAAUGCGUAGAGAUGUGGAGGAACACCAGUGGCGAAGGCGACUUUCUGGUCUAUUACUGACGCUGAGGUGCGAAAGCGUGGGGAGCAAACAGGAUUAGAUACCCCAGUAGUC